rnacentral:rRNA from 1 species
CACGUAGUUAGCCGGAGCUUCCUCUUUGGGUACCGUCAUUUUCUUCCCCAAAGACAGAGGUUUGCAAUCCGAAGACCGUCUUCCCUCACGCGGCGUCGCUGCAUCAGAGUUUCCUCCAUUGUGCAAUAUCCCCCACUGCUGCCUCCCGUAGGAGUCUGGGCCGUGUCUCAGUCCCAAUGUGGCCGAUCAACCUCUCAGUCCGGCUACCGAUCGUCGCCUUGGUGGGCCGUUGCCCCACCAACUAGCUAAUCGGCCGCGAGCCCAUCUUUCAGCGGAUUGCUCCUUUGGCUGCAUCGGGAUGCCCCAUCGCAGCGUUAUGCGGUAUUAGCAGUCGUUUCCAAUGUUAUCCCCCUCUGAAAGGCAGGUUGCUCACGUGUUACUCACCCGUCCGCCACUAAGCUUAUCUCUCGUCCAUCCGAAAACUUCUAGAAAUAUAAGCUCCGUUCGACUUGCAUGUGUUAGGCGCGCCGCCAGCGUUCGUCCGUGAGCCACGGAUCGAAA